UUUUACCUAGGUUAUUACCUGGUCUUGCUUCCUUUUAGUGGGCUUUUAGUACAUUUCUCUUCUUCCACCUCAUAUGGCAUUAAAGCCAGUGUCCUCAUAUGGUGACCUACGAGGUCCUCCCAGACCUCAUGCCCUGUACUCCCUUGAUGAUCAACAAACACCGACACACACAAGCCUCUGGAAUUUUCUCCCACAGAUAACCUCCUUGUUGACCCAUCAUACAGAGGUAGACCUUCUCUGACCAACUUAGCCCCCAAUUCUAACCUCCCUUCCCCCAGUGAGACUCUCACUUAGUUUUACCCUUUAGCACUUAUCUAACAUGCUCU
rnacentral:lncRNA from 10 species